rnacentral:rRNA from 1 species
CCUACGGGAGGCAGCAGUGAGGAAUAUUGGUCAAUGGACGAGAGUCUGAACCAGCCAAGUAGCGUGAAGGAUGACUGCCCUAUGGGUUGUAAACUUCUUUUAUAAAGGAAUAAAACGAGGCACGUGUGCCUUUUUGCAUGUACUUUAUGAAUAAGGAUCGGCUAACUCCGUGCCAGCAGCCGCGGUAAUACGGAGGAUCCGAGCGUUAUCCGGCUUUAUUGGGUUUAAAGGGAGCGUAGAUGGGUUGUUAAGUCAGUUGUGAAAGUUUGCGGCUCAAUCGUAAAAUUGCAAUUGAUACUGGCAGUCGUGAGUACAGUUGAGGUAAGCGGAAUUCGUGGUGUAGCGGUGAAAUGCUUAGAUAUCACGAAGAACCCCGAUUGCGAAGGCAGCUUACUAAACUGUGACUGACAUUGAUGCUCGAAAGUGUGGGUAUCAAACAGGAUUAGAUACCCCAGUAGUC